CCUAAGUGUUGCCAUCGCUCGCAGGCAUCGCAAGAAACAGCACGUUGCCUCUGCCCAACUGUCUUUCCACAAUGUAUGCACUUUACCACUUCUGCCAUUGCAGAAACACAAAACUCACUUACUCUCACAGUAAAAUUAUUGUAUCCUACAUUUAAGAAGCACAAAUGUUUGAAAUAUUUAUAUAAAUUAGUUCAAUUUAUGAUUCACUGUGUGUGUUUCAGAGUUUAUUUACAGGUCCUACUGGCCUCUUCACGAGGUUAUGGUAGCCCGACCUGCCCCUGUGACCUCUCAGGGGAAAAAGAUUAAUUUAGAGCCAAAUUCCCAGAUCGCAGAACACGCCGCCCCCGCACAAGCGCACCCACGCCGAGCGAGCCCGAGCCCCCCCCCCCCCCCGCGCCCGCAUACGGCCCCGGCCCUAGCACCCAACCGCUGAAGACCCUCGAGACAAGCACCCUCAUCCACCCUCUCGCUGCGCGCGACAACAGAUCAGUCAAGAACCAACCAUGGAGCCCCCCAAAGCCCCACCCGGAGUCACCAUCGUUCUUUCCCACCCACCUGCCAAACAUCCAGACCAUGUAUCAAGCUGGGAUAUUUCAGGGGCGAAUUGUCUUGGGGUGAGAUUUCUUUGGGGCGAGUUGUCUGAUUCCCAUUCCGAAUGGACUUUGAAAGAAACGAACGACAACUUUGUAAGAAAACCCGCCAAUGGGGCUCGCGACCAAUCGGAUGGAUGCUAUGCCUGCUGGGAUCGCCAUGCUCUUUUUCGACGCGGACAGUGGACCCGACAUGACCGACUUAACGGACUCGACGUGACGGACUCGACCUAAUCAAUUUUCUUUAUUCUUAGACUUAAGUCUAAGAAUUGUUUGGUGAAUACGGGCCUAGCAGAUUCUUUUGUGCACGAGAUGCGGUCAAAAAGAAGAAAAGACGAAAGAACCAAUCCAGACUUGGUGGCAGAGGAAAGUAUAAAAAAGAAUGCAGAUCUUGGUGGAUUUUGUGUGGAUACAAUUCCACCUAAAGGUAUUUCUUGUUGACAGAUAGCCUUGACCUUAAGUCAUUUAAAGAAGUUUAUUAAUUUCAAUUUCAGCUGGCACUAUAUGUAUUUGCCUGUAUAUGUUUAAAGAAAUAAAAAGGGCAAACAAACAAUUAAACCUGGGAUACAGCCUUAGCCUCUCAAAAGGGGAAAAAUACCAUGUGACCAGCACUUUUGGGGAGAAAUUGCAAUAAAUCGUCAUAAACUAAAGGUUAAUUACAUGUUAUAACCAUUAUUUGCUCCAUUUAAAAGCUGAAUCUUUUUAUAUGGCUUUCCCCUACCACAAGUGAUUGGGGCUAAAUGUAUACUGGAAUCACUGUGUCUGUCUGUCCCACAUGGGUUUAUGAAUGGAAUCAAACAUUUCAAAUGCUUAACUGUUCCCUAGAAUUGUUCAUGUGAAAUGCCUUGUAUUAUUUUUAAACCGAUUUUUUUCUCAACUUUCCCUCUGUGUCCUUUAUAAAGGACUAAGUUGAAUAUUUCUUUGCAAAAAUGUACAGGAAAAUUUUAAUGGAAUAUGGAUUGUUGUAGCUUUCUUUAAAGACUUUAUGAUAAUCAUAUUGAAGCAGUAACAUUCAGCCAUAUGUAUCCAUACGGCUAUAAACUAAUACCAAGCUUCCCCUUCCAACACUAAAACUUGUUUUACAUCUUAAAUAGUUUAAUCCAGAGAAAGCUAUUGGAAAAAAGCUAAAUUAAUUUGAAAUAUUUCAAAAUGAACUUAAGCACUGUAGCUUGGACAUUUGUCAGGCCUUUUUCUGCCUAUCUCACAGGUACGAUAGUCGGACCCAUUCCCAAUGCCAAAUAUGGAUGUUUUUUUCGCAAUUAUCUAAACAAAAAUUCCCAAUUUCCAACCGAAAUAAUGGAGCCGAAAAAUGCGUUUCUCAGUAGAUACUGUGUUUUAAAUAAUUUGGGCACCGUGUUUUAACAUGCCAAUGCGUAAAAUGUCAUAGUAUCGAGCGUUCCAUAAUGCAAUUUUGGGAUCUUGAGACUUCAGACAAACAAUGACGGACGCUUGUGUCUAUGCAUUUCUUAAGACACAUUUACGGUCAUUUUCGGUCAGAAUUAGCUUUUAAAUAUUGAAGUGCUGGAUUAUUCAGAAUUAUCAGGUAUGUAUACAACAAUUGAUAACAAUGUGUACGCAUUAAUUACUGUAAAUUGUUUGAGAAUCGUUAUCAAUGGCCUGAGGUAAAUAAAUGUGGACUAGUUUAACUUGCAACGUUACUGUGGUUCGGAAGAGUAAGUUAAGGUAAAAAAAUACAGAAAUCUGACGCAGUUUAAAAAAAUGUCGCAUAAUUCUAAGUAUUAUUGAAGUAAAAUACAAAAAAAUGACCUGAAAGACACACAAAAACUGAAUGUUUUGUGGGGAAAUACUACCGCCAAUCAGUCUACUCAACGGUUAACCAAGAAUAUGACUCAUUUUCCACUGCCAGAUUCAGAGUCACUACCCUUUGCAGCUUCUUAACAUUUCAAUACUAUACAUUUAUGAU